rnacentral:rRNA from 1 species
AUUGAACGCUGGCGGCAGGCCUAACACAUGCAAGUCGAACGAGUGGCGGACGGGUGAGUAAUGUCUGGGAAACUGCCUGAUGGAGGGGGAUAACUACUGGAAACGGUAUCUAAUACCGCAUACCAUCAGAGGUGCCCAGAUGGGAUUAGCUAGUUGGUGGGGUAACGGCUCACCAAGGCGACGAUCCCUAGCUGGUCUGAGAGGAUGACCAGCCACACUGGAACGGUGACACGGACCAGACUCCUACGGGAGGCAGCAGGGGGGAAUAUUGCAACAUGGGCGCAAGCCUGAUGCAGCCAUGCCGCGUGUAUGAAGAAGGCCUUCGGGUUGUAAAGGCCUUUCAGCGGGGAGGCGUUACCCGCAGAAGAAGCACCGGCUAACUCCGUGCCAGCAGCCGCGGUAAUACC